GGGAGUCAUAUCUCUGUGAGCCUCACUGUUCUCCUCUGUAAAGUGGAGCCGACAGUGCCUGCCCAUGAAGAAUGGAGGGAGGAUGAUGCUGGGGGGAACUUAAGGCACAGAGCGGUUAAGUCAUUUACCCAAGAUCACACAGCUGGGAUGCGGCAUAGUAGGGACUGAACCCAAGCAGGUGGACUGAGAGACCGGGCUCGGAACCCCCGCACUAUUGCUGCCCCCAGGGACACAUGGAGCUGCACAGCCCUCCCCACAUACCCACCACCCACCUGUUGGUUUUCCAGAUGUGCAGGGUGUCAGGAUCUGAGAUUCCCCUCUUCUCAGCCUGCUCCUCCAAGAAGUCGAAGAAGUACUUGACGGCCAGAGGGGGCUUGUCCUCACGAAUGCUCAGAAUGGCCUUGAACAGGUCAUCCAGAAACUUCUGUAGUGUGCCCUGCAGGGGAGCAAGGUGGCUGCCAUCAGCCCAGGACCACAUGCAGAGGAUCUCCUCCUCACUGCCGCGGCUGAGAGAGCGAGUCACCAGCCCAGGAUCCCCCAGCAGGAAGAGGCGGAGCUGGACUUGGCUGCUGGAUUGGCUGACUCCCUCCCAAGGAUGGGAUAACUCUCCUGGAAGAGUUGGCGGAAGGAUGAACAGAGUCCAGUCUACCGCGGGAAGACUGGGAGACGGUGUUCCCUGCCGUAUCGGUGGCGCCUUCACGCCUGCCUCACCCUCAGACAGCUGUACAUGCAGAUGGACAUCCAGUUGG